rfam:Dipodomys ordii contig_72109, whole genome shotgun sequence.
GGGAAUAUGGCUUAGUGGUAGAGUGCUUGCCUAGCAUGCAUGAAGCCCUGGGUUCGAUUCCUCAGUACCA